rnacentral:rRNA from 1 species
UACGUAGGGGGCAAGCGUUGUCCGGAUUUAUUGGGCGUAAAGAGCGUGUAGGCGGUUAGGUAGGUCCGUUGUGAAAACUCGAGGCUCAACCUCGAGACGCCGAUGGAAACCAUCUGACUAGAGUCCGGAAGAGGAGAGUGGAAUUCCGUGGUGUAGCGGUGAAAUGCGCAGAUAUCAGGAAGAACACCCGUGGCUAAGGCGGCUCUCUAGUACGGUACUGACGCUGAGACGCGAAAGCGUGGGGAGCAAACAGG